rnacentral:rRNA from 1 species
GAUUAAGCCAUGCAUGUCCAAGUAUAAGCAAUCUAUACGGUGAAACUGCGAAUGGCUCAUUAAAUCAGUUAUCGUUUAUUUGAUAGUACCUUACUACAUGGAUAACCGUGGUAAUUCUAGAGCUAAUACAUGCUAAAAACCCCGACUUCGGAAGGGGUGUAUUUAUUAGAUAAAAAACCAGCGCCCUUCGGGGCUCCUUGGUGAUUCAUAAUAACUCAACGAAUCGCAUGGCCUUGCGCCGGCGAUGGUUCAUUCAAAUUUCUGCCCUAUCAACUUUCGAUGGUAGGAUAGUGGCCUACCAUGGUAUCAACGGGUAACGGGGAAUUAGGGUUCUAUUCCGGAGAGGGAGCCUGAGAAACGGCUACCACAUCCAAGGAAGGCAGCAGGCGCGCAAAUUACCCAAUCCCGACACGGGGAGGUAGUGACAAUAAAUACUGAUACAGGGCUCUUUUGGGUCUUGUAAUUGGAAUGAGUACAAUUUAAAUCCCUUAACGAGGAACAAUUGGAGGGCAAGUCUGGUGCCAGCAGCCGCGGUAAUUCCAGCUCCAAUAGCGUAUAUUAAAGUUGUUGCAGUUAAAAAGCUCGUAGUUGAACCUUGGGCCUGGCUGGCCGGUCCGCCUCACCGCGUGUACUGGUCCGGCCGGGCCUUUCCUUCUGGGGAGCCGCAUGCCCUUCACUGGGCGUGUCGGGGAACCAGGACUUUUACUUUGAAAAAAUUAGAGUGUUCAAAGCAGGCCUUUGCUCGAAUACAUUAGCA